AGGCACUGUAUUUAUGUGACAGGGUCUGUCUGUCUGUGAGAGGCACUGUAUUUAUGUGACAGGGUCUGUCUGUCUGUGAGAGGCACUGUAUUUAUGUAACAGGGUCUGUCUGUGAGAGGCACUGUAUUUAUGUGACAGGGUCUGUCUGUGAGAGGCACUGUAUUUAUGUAACAGGGUCUGUCUGUGAGAGGCACUGUAUUUAUGAUAGGGUCUGUCUGUGAGAGGCACUGUAUUUAUGUGACAGGGUCUGUCUGUGAGAGGCACUGUAUUUAUGUGACAGGGUCUGUCUGUGAGAGGCACUGUAUUUAUGAUAGGGUCUGUCUGUGAGAGGCACUGUAUUUAUGUGACAGGGUCUGUCUGUGGGAUAAAACAGUAUGUGAGGGACAGACAGUGAAAAGCCUAGUGUGAGAGACAGUAUGUGGGGGGACACGGUGAGUGGCCUAACGUCAGAGUAAGGGUUAGAGGUGCCAACAG